rnacentral:rRNA from 1 species
UGGGGAAUAUUGGGCAAUGGGCGAAAGCCUUACCCAGCAACGCCGCGUGAGGGAAGAAGGUUUUCGGAUUGUAAACCUCUGUCCUGGGGGACGAAGGAAGUGACGGUACUCCGGGAGGAAGCCCCGGCUAACUACGUGCCAGCAGCCGCGGUAAUACGUAGGGGGCGAGCGUUGUCCGGAAUUAUUGGGCGUAAAGGGCGCGUAGACGGCCGAGUAAGUUAUAGGUGAAAGCCCAUCUUUCAAGGAUGGAAUUGCCUGUAAUACUGCCUGGCUUGAGUGCAGGAGAGGGAAGCGGAAUUCCUAGUGUAGCGGUGAAAUGCGUAGAUAUUGGGAGGAACACCAGUGGCGAAGGCGGCUUUCUGGACUGUAACUGACGUUGAGGCGCGAAAGCGUGGGGAGCAAACAGGAUUAGAUACC